GACGAACGCUGGCGGCGUGCCUAACACAUGCAAGUCGAACGCAGUGGGGACGGGUGAGUAAAACGUGGGUAACCUCCCAUCAGAGGGGAUAACACUUGGAAACAGGUGCUAAUCCGAUACUGAUGGAUGGACCUGGGGUGCAUUAGCUAGUUGGGGGGGUAACGGCGCACCAAGGCAACGAUCCAUAGCCGGCCUGAGAGGGUGAUCGGCCACACUGGGACUGAGACACGGCCCAGACUCCUACGGGAGGCAGCAGUGGGGAAUCUUCGACAAUGGACGAAAGCCUGACCGAGCAACGCCGCGUGAGUGAAGAAGGUUUUCGGGUCGUAAAGCUCUUUUGUGAGAGAAGCGGUAUCUAAAGAGAAAGCCACGGCUAACUACGUGCCAGCAGCCGCGGUAAUAC
rnacentral:rRNA from 1 species